rfam:Paenibacillus sp. D9 Scaffold1, whole genome shotgun sequence.
UACAUCCUGCGGUGCUCGUUAUGGCUUAACGUGUUUUGAACCAAUGGCUGUUUCACGGGAGUUCAACAUCGGCGGGCGGCUGACAUGCCUUCAUUUUAUGGAGGAUCUCAAAACCCUUCCUGAGGACACCCACCUGCGAGAGCGGGUUCAGAAACAAGCAAGCCAGACGGCACUGCGGGACUAUA